rnacentral:lncRNA from 1 species
AUGGACUGGUUGGAUCCCCUUGCAGUCCAAGGGACUCUCAAGAGUCUUCUCCAACACCACAGUUCAAAAGCAUCAAUUCUUUGGCGCUCAGCCUUCUUCACAGUCCAACUCUCACAUCCAUACACGACUACUGGAAAAACCACAGCCUUGGCUAGACGGACCUUAGUUGGCAAAGUAAUGAAUGCACUCAUUUCACACACUAGUAAAGUAAUGCUCAAAAUUCUCCAAGCCAAGCUUCAGCAAUACAUGAACCAUGAACUUCCAGAUGUUCAAACUGGUUUUAGAAAAGGCAGAGGAACCACAGAUCAAAUUGCCAACAUCUGCUGGAUCAUGGAAAAAGCAAGAGAGUUCCAGAAAAACAUCUAUUUCUGCUUUAUUGACUAUGCCAAAGCCUUUGACUGUGUGGAUCACAGUAAACUGUGGAAAAUUCUGAAAGAGAUGGGAAUACCAGACCACCUGACCUGCCUCUUGAGAAAUCUGUAUGCAGGUCAAGAAGCAACAGUUAGAACUGGACAUGGAACAACAGACUGGUUCCAAAUAAGAAAAGGAGUACAUCAAGGCUGUCUAUUGUCACCCUGCUUAUUUAACUUCUAUGCAGAGUACAUCAUGAGAAACGCUGGACUGGAAGAAACACAAGCUGGAAUCAAGAUUGCUGGGAGAAAUCUCAGUAACCUCAGAUAUGUAGAUGACACCACCCUUAUGGCAGAAAGUGAAGAGGAACUAAAAAGCCUCUUGAUGAAAGUGAAAGAGGAGAGUGAAAAAGUUGGCUUAAACCUCAACAUUCAGAAAACGAAGAUCAUGGCAUCUGGUCCCAUCACUCCAUGGGAAAUAGAUGGCGAAAGAGUGGAAACAGUGUCAGACUUUAUUUUGGGGGGCUCCAAAGUCACUGCAGAUGCUGACUGCAGCCAUGAAAUUAAAAGAUGCUUACUCCUUGGAAGAAAAGUUAUGACCAACCUAGAUAGCAUAUUCAAAAGCAGAGGCGUUACUUUGCCAACAAACGUCCGUCUAGUCAAGGCUAUGGUUUUUCUAGUGGUCAUGUAUGGAUGUGAGAAUUGGACUGUGAGGAAAGCUGAGUGCCGAAGAAUUGAUGCUUCUGAACUGUGGUGUUGGAGAAGACUCUUGAGAGUCCCUUGGACUGCAAGGAGAUCCAACCAGUCCGUUCUGAAAGAGAUCAGCCCUGGGAUUUCUUUGGAGGGACUGAUGCUAAAGCUGAAACUCCAGUACUUUGGCCACCUCAUGUGA